GUUGUGUAACCUGCUUCUGUCCAUGCGUUACCUUUGGUCAGAUUGCCGAGAUCGUCGACAAAGGAUCGAUCUCAUGCGCGGCAAGUGGAGGGUUAUAUGCGCUGAUAUUCUGUGUGACUGGGUGCAAUUGCCUCUACUCGUGCUUCUACCGAUCAAAGAUGAGAGGGCAGUACUUCCUGGAGGAGAGCCCCUGUGCUGACUGCCUUGUCCACUGCUGCUGCGAGAUGUGUGCAUUGUGCCAGGAGUAUAGAGAACUCAAGAGCCGUGGGUUCGACUUGCACUCCGGGUGGGAAGGUAACUUGGGAAGGCAGAGUGCGACCUUACCGCCAGCCGUGGAAGGAGGCAUGAGCCGUUAAGGCGUGGGCUAAGAUUAUCUGGAGAGUUGGCGUUUGCUUUGCGUUUGUGUGUGAGAUUUGCUUCGCGACUGUAAUGCUAAUGCUUUCAAGGGUACAAAUAGUUAUUGAAUUAUCUAUUAGCAAUCGAAAAGGACUAUCGCGCGCGAAGAAAAGUACCGUUUUUUUGUUGUUGU